CAUGUCCUUUUGAAAUGAAAUUUAAGGUCUAACCUGCCCAAUGAUAAUAUAUUUAAUGGCCGCGGUACUUUGACCGUGCAAAGGUAGCAUAAUCAUUAGUUUUUUAAUUGAAAGCUGGAAUGAAGGGUUGAAUGAGAAAAUUACUGUCUUUAUUAUAUUUAAUUAAAAUUUUAUUUUUAAGUUAAAAAGCUUAAAUUUAAUUUAUAGACGAGAAGACCCUUUAGAGUUUUAUAAAUACUUAUAUAAAAUUUUUUGGGAUUAAUUUAAUUUUUAAAUUUGUUAUUUAUUUGAUUGGGGUGAUUGAAAAAUUUAAAUAACUUUUUUUUUCUAUUUUACAUUUAUAUAUGAAUAAUUGAUCCAUUAAUUAUGAUUACAAGAUUAAAUUACCUAAGGGAUAACAGCGUUAUUUUUUUUAAGAGUUCUAAUCGAAAAAAAAGUUUGCGACCUCGAUGUUGGAUUAAAAUUAAAUUAUGGUGUAGAGGCUAUAACUUUA
rnacentral:rRNA from 1 species